AUGGAAUUCUACGACGGAAUGCGAGAUACCGACCGCGCGCGCUCGCCGGCCCUGCGUGCCGCGCGCAUUGACUUUUCAUCAAACGGGACGCGCGAAAGCCAAGUCGCCGCACCUACUACCACCUCGUUGAAGAAUUACAUCUCGACGACAUUGCCAAAACCCAGCGUCGUGCAGCCCCCCUACAAGCUUGUUGCAAAGGGAGAAGAGAGAGACAGAAGAAGAAGAAAGCCAAGGUUGACGAGAUCGAUGGCCGUCUUGAGGAGGACGAUGAAGCUCGCUCUGCCGAUGAUCGUGGCGGCGUUCCUACUUCUGGCGGUGCUCGGCGAGGCGCGGCCGCUGGGCGGCGCCGACUGGGCGGCCGCAGGAGGGACCCCGCUGCCGGGCGCGUCGACGACCAUGGCCCAGGCGCUCCGGCGGCUGUACACGCAGCGGCUGACCGGGCCUGGCGCCUCGUGCACCACCAACAGCCCGAACGUCCCCUGCCCGCCGUAG
rnacentral:rRNA from 1 species